rnacentral:rRNA from 1 species
UACGUAGGGUGCAAGCGUUGUCCGGAAUUAUUGGGCGUAAAGAGCGUGUAGGCGGCCCGAUUAGUCCGCUGUGAAAGUCCAGGGCUCAACCCUGGAAAGCCGGUGGAAACUGUCGAGCUAGAGUCCGGAAGAGGCGAGUGGAAUUCCUGGUGUAGCGGUGAAAUGCGCAGAUAUCAGGAGGAACACCAAUGGCGAAGGCAGCUCGCUGGGACGGUACUGACGCUGAGACGCGAAAGCGUGGGGAGCAAACAGG